rnacentral:rRNA from 1 species
UCAGUCGACUCCUACGGGGAGGCAGCAGUGGGGGAAUAUUGCACAAUGGGCGCAAGCCUGAUGCAGCCAUGCCGCGUGUGUGAAGAAGGCCUUCGGGUUGUAAAGCACUUUCAGUCGUGAGGAAGGUAGUGUAGUUAAUAGCUGCAUUAUUUGACGUUAGCGACAGAAGAAGCACCGGCUAACUCCGUGCCAGCAGCCGCGGUAAUACGGAGGGUGCGAGCGUUAAUCGGAAAUUACUGGGCGUAAAGCGCAUGCAGGUGGUUUGUUAAGUCAGAUGUGAAAGCCCGGGGCUCAACCUCGGAAUUGCAUUUGAAACUGGCAGACUAGAGUACUGUAGAGGGGGGUAGGAAUUUCAGGUGUAGCGGUGAAAUGCGUAGAGAUCUGAAGGAAUACCGGUGGCGAAGGCGGCCCCCUGGACAGAUACUGACACUCAGAUGCGAAAGCGUGGGGAGCAAACAGGAUUAGAUACCCUGGUAG